UUAUAUAAUGUGAAAAAUGUUAGUUAAGAGUGCGUGGGAGUCGACUCACCCUAAUGACAGGGUGGAUCUUUUUCCAGCCGCGGCAUUAUGUAAGAGAACAAAGAAACUACAACCGGUAACAUUAACUUCUUCAAAUAUAUAUCACGACAAGUAUAAAGUUCACAACCAAAUAGAACCCAAACCAAAAAAAUGAACAAAAAAUAAACAAAAAUAAAAAUAAAUAAAAACCUUCUUAUUAGAUAGACAUGCAUGUAUAUAAGGCCUUGGCAAGGUCUAGAGAAAGAAGAAAGCAAAGAAAACGGAGAAAUUGAUACCGAAACUAGCUCGAACCAAUAAAGACGACUUUUCGCGAACUGCGGCUGAUGAUGACGUCGUAUUUACAGACGGGCUACGAACCCUCCUCUUAAUUUGUACAACUAUUAUCUCCCUCGAUAGUUUCACCGAUUUAGAUGUAUGCUCGAUUGCUAAGUGUGUACCCAAAUUAGAGGAGUUACUGCGAAUUUCAUUUGAAGUCUUGGAUGUAAUUCCAUAUGCCCUUGUUGGAAAAGAAAAUAAUUGGGUUGAUAACAAGAUUAGUGCUAUCAUCAACCAUAGAGAGAGUAUAUACUUCAUUUUUCUCUCACUUUUUUGUUUGCUGAAUGAAAGGAAAUUUGUGAAGAUGAGAACUUUAUAGUUGAGAGGAACUAUAUAUAUAUAUAUAUAUAUAUAUAUAUUAGAUUAGCAACUUGUUGGAAGGUGGCAAAAUGCAAAAUUGUG
rnacentral:lncRNA from 1 species